AGAAACAACUGCUAAUACAGUACUUAUAUAAAUUCAUUACAGAAGGUAAGUUUCAUUUAUACAUAUAAAUCAUUUUAUUUGACAUAACUGAACAGUUAACCAAUCUUUUUAGUAUAUGUAGUUUUGUACAUAUUAUGGUUAUUAAUCAGGCAAGAAAGUGACAUGACCUGCUGCCAACUUUAAUAAAAAUAUAUUAUCUUCUCAUACAUCGUUUUGCUAUUGAUAUCAUAUUAAAUAGCAAUCAAAUUGAUUACUAUUUUGAAAAUGUAUAAUUGAAGAUUCAUAUUGUCUUGAGUGCUGUUUUUAAUAUAAAAAGAAUGUUGAGUUUUCAGAGUCUUUAUUGUCAUUUUUUUGUGAUAGGACCCUACCAGACUAUAUUUGAAUACGGCAUACCCGUGAAUUCUGGAACUGUUAUUCCUUAACCCAGUUUGGAGGAUAAGAGCUUACCAACUAUAAAUAUGCUGAGGGGAUGUAUUGCAAAAAAGCCAACAUACAACAAUUAAAGGAUAAUUGCAGACUACAUCCUGAUGAAGAUAUGGAUGACCCUCUGUCUGGUCAAAAGGAGUUUAAAUAUGGACGGGACAGUUAUGUGGCAGCUCUUCCCUGGCUCAUUCACCUCUUGCCUUCAUUUGUGAAAGGAGGAAAGACUGGAGAGGGUCAAUGUGCAAUUGAAGCUACUGAUUGUGCUUUGUGAUGAGCAUCAAUCCAUGCUUUGAGGGGGAUGAAUCAGCACAGCCCUGCCUGCUCUGCGUUGGGAACAAAAGUUGCAUCCAGAAUUUUUACAUCAUUCUGGACCAAAAAGCCAUUCCCUGCAUGAUGAAGACCACUGAUGCAGCCUUCCACUACAUCAUGAGUAAAACAACUACAAAACUAAAUACCAGGUUGGAACGUGUUUAAGAAAAAUGAAACGUCUUUUGAAUUGAAAUGUCUGUUUUGUUAUGGAAAAAUCUUUAGUAUUGUGAAGGAUAAGCAUUUCUGCUUGCCAGUAAGGUAAUUGCAGUGUAUUUUAAUGUUCAAGUUUUGAGUAGGGUGGCUAAUUUUUUUAACUCUCAUUUGAUAUAUUAAAGACCUUAUAUUAUGCGGUUUUCAUGUCACUGCGCUGUGGUGUAAGAUAACUUUCAUUAUUCCAUACUGUAUUCUGUUUCUAAUUGUAGCUGAGGUAUUUAAAUAA